CCGGGGUUCAACGGUGUGGAACGUAAAUUAAAACAUAAUAAAACAUUAUCCGCAUCGUGGAACGCAUGGCAUCAGCAGCAGAGCAACACCCAGUGUGAUGGUGCGAGUGGAGUGUGAAUUCAUGAUGAAAGCCGCCAACCUCGCCGCACCGCUGCCAUCAUCAUCAAAUCAAUUGAAUAUCCGUGCGCUGGCAUCAACAGGAUAAUUGGGAACCAGUCAGCAGUCUUGGGAUGAAAAUGAAGGAAAAAAAAUGUUCUUUGAAUUAAUAAAAAAAGGAGAGUGUCACACUUUCAACGCAGAAG